AUGAUAUCGCUCACAUGGAGCUCCGCAUCCCAGAAAGCAGUUGGAAGGGGGGUCUGCAGCCCCACGGCCAAGGCUGCUGUGGGAUGGCUGGGGCCAUCCAAGGAGCUGUUGAUGUUUACCUUUGCAACUGGUUUACCUAGCUCCCACCUGCUGGCUCUUUGGAGCCCCCAAACUAUUAUUAUCGAGGAAAUUGUAUUAACUACUACGUGCCCAAACAAAGGUAUGAUUGUGGCUCCAGCUGACAGACCUGCACUGGCUUCACUCCAGCUCCCAUGGGUCAGAGGAGCUGUGCGAAUACAGAGGCACGGCCCGAGCACAGCCUAAUGCCCAGAGAAGGCCCCAGACUGGGCUCUGUGCUGAGGUCUACACCCCACACCUGCCCAACUGAUGAACCCUGCCACAAGCUCUCUGCAGUCAGAUGCAUAAACCUGCAGUGAAAACUCGGGAUUGAUUCUGCACCACCCCACCAUCCGGCAAACCCAUUUUGGGCUGUGCUCUUAUUUAAGCAAUUAUAUAGGAUAUAGGGUGCUAGAACAUGAGUUCCCUUAUCUCUGCUUCCCACAUUACACCCUUUCCUAAGGCAAAUUGAUGCAGCCCCAUUGAAGCUGAGGCACUGACUGACACCAGCUGAAGAUCUGGCCCUGAUUCUGCCCUGCCUCGCCUCUGGGCAGUCAUUUACACCUGUUCGUGGUGUGCAUGGCGACCAGCAGCAACUGCUCAGAGCUGCAGAGCACCGAAGUCCAGUCCUAUCGCCUUUGCAGCCCGACUUGCCAUGCACCAAGCAGUGGCACGGGGCCCAGUUCCCCUUACAUCUCAGUUGGUUUUGGCGUUGCACAUAGGCAUCCUCUCUUCAGCUUCUAGUAAACCUAGAGAUUGCUGCCAAGUCUCAUGAAAGAAAAAGUUGUGACCCAGUUCCUGAAGGGUGACUUAGUGUAAAUAACUUUCGGUGGCCUGAUGACACCCACCUGAAAUGGAGCAGUGCACUUGUCAGUUUGUGAAGCGUGGAGCCAAGAAGCAGUUCCAAUCCAACUUAACAUGCUGAAUGUCUUUUCCUUACCUUGCACACACAAAAUCCCCAGCAAUUUCUGGAAGAGUUGCGGUUGUGCAAGCCAAACAGGGCUUGGCUUAUUUUCUGAAUCAUCGAAAUAGUGCCAGUUUGCAUGGACAACAUCAGCUUUUGAGCAAAGCUUGCCAAUUCUGAAAAAAAAGCUUUAUGCCUGAAUUAGACCCCAGCUCCAUGCAGCUAGCUGGCUUCCCCAGGUUGCUUCUGCAGCCAGCUUUACCCCGGUGGCUGUGGAGUCUUCCCAGGGACUCUGCAGCUCAACCUCCAGGCACUGCUUGAAAUACACCUGCAGGAACAGAGGUCAAACUUCUCUGCCAUUUUACUGCUCUCAGUGGCAGCCUGUCUGGCUUGGCGCUGUUUGGCAGCACCGGAAGAGGCUGUGCAAACAACACUAGAGCUGGAUGGCCACCAGCAAACAUCUUCGUGAUCUCUGCUUUUCUUGGAGACUUCCAGGCAUGACAGUCACUCUGUUUUUUUCCAUUGCCAUCCUAAACCCAAUUUUGAUCUUCAACAAAAUGUAUCUAGCAUUUAGAUCUAAGGCAUCAUAGUUAGAUCUGUGGGUUGCUUUGGGCUUCUGAUUUCCAUGAGGAUUUGCAUAAUAAAAUACAGUAAUAGGCUGGGCA
rnacentral:lncRNA from 1 species